UGAAGUGUCACUUAAUUCAUUCUCUGAUUAUGAAUAUGAACGCACUUAAAUACUGUACUGCUGUAGUUCUGGCCAUUGCAUUAGUUUUUCCCACCAGGGGUGCAGCAACCUAUAAAUGCAAUCGCAAUGGGUGUACACGACUGCCUUAUACCGAAGAAAUAAGAUUUGCAUGAUUGCAUUUUUGUGGAAUAAGCCGUAUAAAUUUAUUAAUUAUUUGUUUUGUCCUACACAACAAGAUAAAUCUUAUGUAUAAAAUUCAA
rnacentral:sRNA from 1 species